UACGUAGGGCGCAAGCGUUGUCCGGAAUUAUUGGGCGUAAAGAGCUCGUAGGCGGCCUGUUGCGUCCGCUGUGAAAUCCCGGGGCUUAACCCCGGGCGUGCAGUGGAUACGGGCAGGCUGGAGGCAGGCAGGGGAGAACGGAAUUCCCGGUGUAGCGGUGAAAUGCGCAGAUAUCGGGAGGAACACCGGUGGCGAAGGCGGGUCUCUGGGCCGAUACUGACACUGAGGUGCGAAAGCGUGGGGAGCAAACAGG
rnacentral:rRNA from 1 species